GAUUGAGCCAAAGCUGAGCCUGUGAUACAGCCAGGAGCAAUACUAAGAAAUACAAGAAUAUACACUUGCCAGCUUCAACAGGACAUGGGCUGUGUCUGCUUGCUCAGUAUAGGUAUGUUCCUAGGGCUGCAUCUGAAGAAGGAAAGAAGGAAAAUGAAAUAUGUAUCCCUGGUGGAACCAAAGACAAAAUAUUGCAGGGAUUUCUGCUGCAGGGCUGGGGGAACCUCACGCUGGAUUAUCACUUCUCUGUACCUCAGAAAAUGUUAUGCUGCUACAGCAAGGUUCAAGCACCUUCUAAAUGCAGCUCCACCAAGUGGAGCUGUACUAGCAUGGAAGCUUUUGGGACAGUUGUUCACACUAAACAUCUAUGAAAUUUUGGGGGAUGGUCUACCUCACCCCUGUACAUGCAACCUUACAAGGCAGAAUUUUGAGUUUUGUGCUUUAAUUUAUUAUAAAAAUGUGCAUAUUUGCAGUCUAAGUCAAAUCUGAGCUCCUUCACUGAAAACAAGCUUUCUGAACUGACUCCUCUUCCCAUCCUGCCAGCUGGGCAGGGUGUUGAUAAAAAAAUUGGCCACAGAAGGUUCUCGUGGGUGCAUGAUGGCCACAGAUGUUCUCCAGCCUGCUAAGUAGGUUUUAAAAGGGGGAAGGAGAAAAAAAAAAAUGUAUGUCUUCCUUCAGCAUGAGGAAGCUGGCCCAUGGAGGGGGAGAGGAUGUGUCCAACAACAUCAUCUCAGCACAGCGGUGAGUGAAGGCUGUGUAACUCCUGCUUUGUACCCAAGUGCUAGACCAGCUUGAACUGUGUGAAGCCCAGAUUGGGAUUAAAUCAGGGAAGUUUGUGGCUGCUAGUUUUGGGUUGUGUUCCAAAAGCCUUGCUUUCUCAUCUGUUGUUGAGUACGGCUUUGUCCAUCCUGUUGCUAACUAGUGUUUUUAUUACAGACUCAGUCAAAUAGUAGGCAAGAGGGGAAUGUGGGGAAAGAAACAAUGUAUUGGGCUUGCAAGAACAGAAAUUAUCCUUAAAAUACACUGAGGUGGAACAGCAAGGAUUAAAAGUGGAUAGCAAUUGUCUCUCUCUUCAACAGGAGCUCUUCCCCACCCUGAACCAGUCUUGAGAAUCUUCCUGCUUUUUCCAAAAAUAAAGGCCUUCUCAUAUCCAAAACACUUCAGAGUAAUUUCAUCUCCUGUUUAACUCUUGGCUAAUAAUUUCAUCUUUCAUUUCCUCCUAUUGUUCCCUCUGGCAUGUAUCCCAUCUAUUAUAAACCCCAGAUAUCAUAAAGUAAUUUUUUUUAGAUUUAGGGAGAGGGAAAUAAGAGUCAGGUGGUUUGAAGUAAGAUUUUUAUAGCAGCACAAGUUCUGGAAGCAUUGUACAGAGACUAGUAUUAAAGGAAUAGCUCCAUGGGAGGAAACUGGAGUGAGGAGACAAAGCAGCCCUAGCUCUUCGUGAGAGUUGUAUUACUGCCAAGGCAAGGAUAAUUGCUCCUAUUUAGGAAUCCAAUGCAAAAUGGAGCUUUACAGGCACUAAGGAGAGAGUAGAGAUUUUCACAGGCACAAAGUAGCCUCUACAUUAAUGCUCAUGGGAGUUGGGCAUUUCUGAAAGUCUCCAUCUAAUUACUGUACUGAAAAAGUUGGCUGCGAAAUAAUGUAUUUACAAAAUUAAAAUGUCUGUAAAUA